UACGUAGGGGGCAAGCGUUGUCCGGAAUUAUUGGGCGUAAAGAGCGUGUAGGCGGUCCGGUAAGUCGGCUGUGAAAGUCCAGGGCUCAACCCUGGGAUGCCGGUCGAUACUGCCGGACUAGAGUUCGGAAGAGGCGAGUGGAAUUCCCGGUGUAGCGGUGAAAUGCGCAGAUAUCGGGAGGAACACCUAUGGCGAAGGCAGCUCGCUGGGACGUCACUGACG
rnacentral:rRNA from 1 species